UUAAUAAUUCCCAUGUGUCAGAUCACAUACAUAGACCAUCUGAGCAGAACUGUACCUCAGAAAAUACAAAAAUAUGCUGAAAACAUUCAUAAAUAGUCGAAUAUGAUAGAAAAAAAUACAAGACAAUAGCUUUUAUUAUCGUUACAUCAGGGCUUCAUGUCAGUCCAGCUCCACUACCAGAUGUUUUUGUGCUGUUUAAUACUUAAGAUUAAAUCAGUCUAGACCAGGGGUGUCCAACGUCCAAAAGCGGCCCUCCAGAGGGUCCAAUCCAGUCCUCAAAGUGGAAAAAUUCCAGAGAAGACAUUAACUGCAGAUUGUAAAUUAGUAAAACUAUAACUUUAAAAUAAUUUCUAGACAAUGACAAGUUGUUUAGAUCAGAAAGUAAAAUACUAGAUUGUUCAUUGUUCUUUUGUCAUUUUUGUAAUAUUUUGUCUGUUUUUUUCUUGUUUUUUGUCUUUUUGUCAUUUGGUCUCAUGAUUUUGUCAUUUUGUAUUUUGCUUCAUCCAUUGUUUUGUGUUUCGUUUUUGUCAUUCUGUGUUUUUUUUUUGUCUCACUUGUGUUUGGCUAUUUUUUUGUUGUGUUGUUCUCGUGUUUGGUCUUGUUUGUGUCAUUUGUGUAAUUUUUUUGCCUCAUUUUUGUCGUUUGUCCAUUUUUUGUCGCUUUGUAACUUUUUUGUCUAAUUUUUUUGUCUUUUUAAAUUUUGUGUCGUUUGUCGCAUUUUUUGUCAUUUUCUUCUUCAGUUUUGUCAUUUUGUGUCUUAGUUUUGUAAUAUUUUGUCUUGUUUUUGUUGUUUUUUCUCUUUUUUUGUCUGACUUUUGUCGUUUUGAUCAUAAAGUAAAAUCCUCUAUCGUUCCAGAUGACUAAAUGUUGUGUUCCUUUGUCGACACUGUUAUCUGGAAGUUGUAAUGUGGAAAUGAUAAACUGAGGCUGAAUGUUGAUGAAAUUGAAUUUAUUUUUCUGAAGAAAUUUCAGGUUGUUCCUAAUGUUUCAUAAAAAGAUAAUUCCUUAAAUGUGAACAUUUUUACACUAAAACAAAGGAACCAUUAGGAGUUGUGGUUAUUUAGAGGUUAUUAUGCUGUGGUUUUACAGGUUUUAUUGGUUUUACUGGUCUGGUCCUCUGGAAAUCAAACUGGAUUGGAUGUGGAAACAGUGGUGGAUCUUCCGUGGGGGCACGUGGGGGCAGCAGUCCCCCCUGUGAUCUGAUUCGACACGUGCACCCCCCAAAAUUUUCGUUGGGAAUUUACAUUAGUGAAACUCCGAUUUCCGACGCUCCUGAACGCAACUUCGUUGUCCGACUGCAACUGAAUGCACCAAUGACGUUAGUUUGAUCUUUUGAUUGUAUUUCGUUUGGAUUUUAAGAAGCUUUGAAGACCUUUCAUGAUGCCGGAGGAGAAGACGAGCAGCUUUGUACCUUUGCGACCAAAGAACUACAGACUCUUCAGAACCUGCUCAAACUCUUGGUACAGGACCUCACCACACGGGUCAAGAAGGUUUCUGUCUCAUUUCUACUCUGAAGCUCACCUUCUCCUGCUCAAACUGCUGACAAAUGUUUCUGCUGCUCUAAAGUCUGGUCUCCAGAACUUCCUAAAAACUCUCAAAGUCUCUUCUGCUGCAGGUUGCUUUGUAGAACUGUUCCAGAAAACCUCACUAAACCACAUGGAGGAACCUCAAGAUAGUCGUCCAAAUGAAACCAUACAAAAACCAAACUAGCACAACCCAAACACUAAAGUCUCCUGCAGCCUACCAGAGAACCUCUGAGAACAGAGAAUCAGGACAGGAACUCUUACCUUCUGGACAACCAACACUGGUUCUCAAACAAGAAUACAGAAUGUGUCUGACCAAAAACCUCUAAAGACUCACUACAGCCAAGAUAAAGACACAACUCAGCUGCAGCAAAUCCACUAAUCACUGCACACAUUAGCACCAUGUGCUAACUGUGGCUAAAGAACCACAUUUACCAAGACAACUAUCCAGUACAAAGCCCUAAAACACACCAAGAAACACAUUAAAGUCUAUUUUACUGCUGGAAGCUGCAAGCCAACGCCUAAAGAACAAAUUAAAGCAACGGAGCCAAACCCAGCUCAGUGGUGAAGAGAAACAGAGGAAAUGUUUGUCUGCAGCUAAACAAAGCAGGAAGACACUGAGCUGCUCAGGUGUUCCUGAUAAUACCAAGCUGCUCAGGUGUUCCUGAUAACACCAAGCAGCCACCUGGACAGCCAAUAGGAACACAGCUUACUGGAAGUCCAGAGGGCUGGCUUAGUCAAGGAAAUUUAGUUUAAAGUUGAAGCAGAAAGUUAACAAAGAAAGUUGAAAACCACCUUCUGAUACCUGAAAUCUCUGAGUUUUCACACAAAGAACGUCUGAACAUGUCAAACUGGUUCCAUAGUAGACCCAUCAUUGUAAAAACAUCAUAGUAUGGUGUGUUGCUCAAAAAAUAUUAGGACCCGGCUGUCUGGGGUCUUAGAGGAGCAACACAAAAACAGGACAAACGCUGGUUUCCAGGGGGUUAGGAGGAUAUUUAUUUGAAAGAGGAAGUUUACAACAACACGUGAGCAGAAAAGUCACAAAGUCUGUCUUUAGUUCAGCUGAAAAUGUUAGUUUUUGUCUUUUUUCUUUUCUUUUCUUACAGUUACAGAAAUGGUUUGAUUGCAGUGAUUGCCUCAAAAGGUUGUCCAAUAAAAUAUUAAGUUAAGGGUACCAUCAUUUUUGUCCAGGUCUGUUUCAUGAGUUUAUUUUUUUAAAUAAUUCUGUUGAACCACAGUUCUGAUUUUCAUUGGUUAAUUUUCAUAGAAUUACUUUUGUCAGAUUAAAAUUAUUUCUGUGACCA